CCCUGCUAGAUAAAAAAAAAAGAAAACAGCUGGCAGCCAUGAGAUGGAAUUCCCCUCCCCUUCUACACUCCAUUUCAAUGCAAGGUCAACUCGAAAAAGUAAGGAAAUCUUUAAGUGUAAAUGCAUUUCUGAUACAUGGGACAUUAGUUGGUUGCUGGAAACUUGUGGGGAAUCCACAGUCAAUUAUCCUGACGUGGAAUUGGAUUUGCAUAGCCAUUUGACUACGUACACAAACAGCAAAAUCAUACUUUACUCAUACGGCCAUUUUCUAUGGGAAGGAUGAAAUCACUAUUCACAGUCAGCCCCGACAGUUGUGUUGCUGCUGCUUAGCAGGAGGGAGAGUGGAGAGUUCAGUGUGGUGCAAAUGCAGUGUUCCUGCUGGUGUGUUUUCACUAUGCUGACCUCCCACUAAGCGGCGACUCAACUGUCAGGAUGUCAAGUGAGCAUCUGCCACAGAGUGUGGCGGCUAUGGGGGCUUCCAUGCUGUUUCUAGCUGGGAUUCUGAUGCAAAAUUAGCAUUUGCUCUAUUUGUUCUUUAGAUGUCUGUUUGCACUUUACCUGCUCUGUUUUUAUGGUGAUAAACAUUACAAAAGACAUGGUAAAUCUACAAUGCUCAUUUCAUCCAAAAGAACUCUCUACUUGAGGAAGAUGAAUAUUUUGGAAGUUUAAGGCACGGCCACGUGCAUCAUCUAACUACAAUAACUACAGCAACCCUAUAAGGCAGGAGUGAGGAGCCUGUUUGGCUUGGUGGAUCAGAUCUUUAUCUCGCCGUCCACACUGAUGACGUCAGGCGAUUGAUAGGUAGGCUCACCUGUCAAAGUAGACCCACGGGGUGGAGGGAGGGACCUGAUUUGCCAGUUUGUUCCACACAGGGAACAUGCUGGGAAAGCAGCUCCAACAGGAUCAAACUCUUGGCUUGUCAGCUGAUGAAUGAAGACUUCCACCCUGCUUCUGCAGGUGCAGGGUUGCCGUAUUUCAAAAAGUAAAAACCAAGACACCCCAAAAGUUGACUUUCCUAAGUUCCAGGACAAAGCACCACCAAUUCCACCUUUGAAAUCCCAGUAACGUCCAGAAAAAUCUGGGCGUAUGGCAGCCCAAUGCAGAUGGCUGUUUUGCCAGCACCAAGUGGAAGGUGCAUCAUUCUAUUAUUACCCUGUAUUUUAGAUGGAGGUGAGAGAGACCGGCUUGAUGAAGGCUGCAGAGCAUAUCCGCUCCCCCCCCCCCCCAACAUUUCAAGAGGGAAAAUUGGAGCAACACACCAACACUGUCGCUCACCCACUUCCUCCCCUCCCUCCUCCCUCCAAUCGUUGUCCUCUGGCCUUCAGUGUUGCCGCCUCAGAAGAUGCUGUGCUGGUCCGCACAGCCUAGGGGAAGACACAGCCACCGCCUCUGCUGCUGGCACCAGCUUCCAAAAGUGCCGCAAAAGAAGGAGGAAGAAAAGUAGAAGGGGCAAGUUUAUUCCCGCCCCCCCGCCCGCUUUUUUCAGUGUUAACUAACUGACACGAGCCACAGUGUGGAACCAAAAGCCACCUGUCUUUUGGCCCUGCGUUCUGGCGUGGCCAGAGGACAGGAGCCAAAACAGGACAUCCCUGGAUUGGAAUUAGAAGCUGCUAGGGUGGCUUUUAUAAAUUUGGAAUGUUCCACUUGGAGGGCAUGGCAUAGUGAGUUCAUGGCAAACGAGAGAUUUGAACCUGACACUUUCCAACGCCAGCUCUCGCCUCAGUUGUAUUAAGGCUUGAAUAAAUGAAAAUCCUUGGGUAAAUUAAAUUAAACAUCACCCAUCUUCUUCAAAUACGUGAAAAUGGUGUUGUGGUAAGGAGAGAUCACACUGAACCAAUUAAUCAGUUUGGUAAUUGGCCUGGGCAGCGUAUUCAGGAAUGGAGCACUGACUCCUUGUGUGAUAGUGAUUUCCCCCCACCCCCACCGUUCAGGUCAUAUGACUGAUCACUAUCCUCUGACAUAGUUGUUUGUUCCAGUGUUGAGUUCCUGUGCAUUAUCUGCUGAUCUAGCCUUGGCUGUCUAGACCAAUUCUUUCUAGGAGAUUCCUGUUUACCUGAAGAGAUGUGGUGUUUGCAUCUCUUAUAAACAGGUGACCAAGGAAGUGUCAGUGCUACCACAAUGACCUUAGCACUGUUUCUUGCAGAGGUUACAAUGGCAUUGCAAACUUAAACCAGUUUUAUGCCUCUUUGACCAUCACUGUUUGCUGAAAGUAGGGUUGCCAACUUGUGAUUUCAUCCUCGUUUUCUAAAAUACUGAUAAUGACUUCUCUGGGCUCCUUCAGAGCAC